rnacentral:rRNA from 1 species
GACGAACGCUGGCGGCGUGCCUAAUACAUGCAAGUUGAGCGCUGAAGGUUGGUACUUGUACCAACUGGAUGAGCAGCGAACGGGUGAGUAACGCGUGGGUAAUCUGCCUUUGAGCGGGGGACAACAUUUGGAAACGAAUGCUAAUACCGCAUAAAAACUUUAAACACAAGUUUUAAGUUUGAAAGAUGCAAUUGCAUCACUUAAAGAUGAUCCCGCGUUGUAUUAGCUAGUUGGUGAGGUUAAGGCUCACCAAGGCGAUGAUACAUAGCCGACCUGAGAGGGGGAUCGGCCACAAUGGGACUGAGACACGGCCCAAACUCCUACGGGAGGCAGCAGUAGGGAAUCUUCGGCAAUGGACGAAAGGCUGAACGGGCAACGCCGCGGGAGUGAAGAAGGUUUUCGGAUCGUAAAACUCUGUUGGUAGAGAAGAACGUUGGUGGGAGUGGAAAGCUCAUCAAGUGACGGUAACUACCCAGAAAGGGACGGCUAACUACGUG